UUGAACUGAAGAGUUUGAUCCUGGCUCAGAUUGAACGCUGGCGGCAUGCCUUACACAUGCAAGUCGAACGGCAGCACGGGCUUCGGCCUGGUGGCGAGUGGCGAACGGGUGAGUAAUACAUCGGAACAUGUCCUGUAGUGGGGGAUAGCCCGGCGAAAGCCGGAUUAAUACCGCAUACGAUCCACGGAUGAAAGCGGGGGACCUUCGGGCCUCGCGCUAUAGGGUUGGCCGAUGGCUGAUUAGCUAGUUGGUGGGGUAAAGGCCUACC
rnacentral:rRNA from 1 species